AUAAACAAAGCGCCACUCUCACAGUUGAACGGUGACCGUUCACUUCGCCAACUUCCGCUCCUGGCUUCUGUCGCCUGCGUAGGGCCUAUGGUGACCGAAAUAUAUUUGACAAUAGCUCUGCGAAGGAGACUGUUAUUUAUUUAUCUUUUGUAUUUUAUUAUUUUUUUAUUUUUCUUUGCUGUAGCGCGUUCAAUCUGCUUGGAGAAGCAGUAGCAGCCCCGAAUGCAUGGAUGGUUUCUAAUACCAAUACAGCACUGUACGGAACAGCAGGAGAGGCAAGUGUAGAAUUUCUUUUGAAAAAUAUUUUUGAAAAUUUGAAUAUUCAUUCAUUUGAAUAUUCAUUUGAAAUUUCAAAUUUUUGAAAAUUUUUGAAAUUUUUUCCCUGCACCUUACUGACACGCAGAUGCAUCUAAAUUGCACUCACAGCUCCAUUUGUGUGUAUCCUUAUGAGUCCAUAAAAUGUGGUCAACCAAAGUCAUUAAAAAUUCAAGAGGUACUGAGUUUGAAAUGUAAGAUCAAAACCCCAACCAAAUACUUGAAAAAUUGGCUCAUUUCUUUGCAACGCUGUUAAAUCAAAUAUACUUUACUGAAGGACUUGAAUGUAACAAUAUCAUGUCAUCAGUAUUACAGACGGACACAAAGAAGCUGCCAGCACCAGGUAUGUAUAAGGUUGGAAUGACCUUAAAAAAAAAAGUCAUGGGGGGGGUACAUGUUUUUAAAGCACUUCCACCAAAAUGUUCUACGCGAGGACAGGGUUUCAUUUGUGACAACUAAUGGUACUUAUGUGCUUACAGUCAUAUACCACAAACAAAGCAUCCAGAUGACUUAAAAAAACGAAAGAAUAAAAAAAGUAUUCACCAAUUUAUUUUCAG